rnacentral:rRNA from 1 species
UGGGGAAUUUUGGACAAUGGGCGAAAGCCUGAUCCAGCAAUGCCGCGUGUGUGAAGAAGGCCUUCGGGUUGUAAAGCACUUUUGUCCGGAAAGAAAUCCUUGGCUCUAAUACAGUCGGGGGAUGACGGUACCGGAAGAAUAAGCACCGGCUAACUACGUGCCAGCAGCCGCGGUAAUACGUAGGGUGCAAGCGUUAAUCGGAAUUACUGGGCGUAAAGCGUGCGCAGGCGGUUUGCUAAGACCGAUGUGAAAUCCCCGGGCUCAACCUGGGAACUGCAUUGGUGACUGGCAGGCUAGAGUAUGGCAGAGGGGGGUAGAAUUCCACGUGUAGCAGUGAAAUGCGUAGAGAUGUGGAGGAAUACCGAUGGCGAAGGCAGCCCCCCUGGGCCAAAUACUGACGCUCAUGCACGAAAGCGUGGGGAGCAAACAGGAUUAGAUACCCUGGUAGUCCACGCCCUAAACGAUGUCAACUAGUUGUUGGGGAUUCAUUUCCUUAGUAACGUAGCUAACGCGUGAAGUUGACCGCCUGGGGAGUACGGUCGCAAGAUUAAAACUUAAAUGAAUUGACGGGGUCAUAGCUGUUUCCU